CUAGGGUCCUAAAUUAGACUAUUGUUUG
rnacentral:tRNA from 1 species